UGCGACUCAGAAACAUGUGGAAUAAGAGCACUUUCCAGGGAGAAGGACUCACAGGACAAACAGAAACAACGUUACUUCUCACGCACUGGAUUCUCAUGUGACGUCGCAGUGACCGCGGUGCUGACGUUCAUGUUACUUCAUUACAGCUGAACUGGGUCCACCCUGACUUUGCAUUGUGCUUCCUGAAGAAAGGAAAAGCCCUGAUGUGCUUGUCACACGAGCUGAUGGCCGGGGCUGUGAGAGGGAGGCCAAAUGUCUUCACUCAGUCCCUCUUCAGACGCUCAAAGGCACUCUGUUUCAGCCUGAUGAUGAGCCGAUUGGAUAUAAUCUUGAGCGGCGGACUCAGGAGAUGGGGAGGGAUAGGGAAACGCUACAGUAGGCUUUGCAGCAAAGGAUUGUCUUUCUCCAAAUGUAGGAAAUGAGCAUCGGAGGGUUCCUGGUGCCAGGCGGCUCGCUCCUCCUGUUACAACACGGGACCAAAUUCAAACCAUGUGUCCUCGCACCCAGUUAGCUGCUUUUGCCCACCUCUAGCAUUAGCAGUCUGGACGGAUCCGUUUCACUGGCUCUCUCCAGUGCAGCGUUCUCGUUCUUCUAGCCCCAGACGAGCUUCUCCGUGGGACUCCUGGGUUAAUAUGCUGGAACUUUCCCAUGUCCGGUCUCCGAAGAUGGCUGUUAUCCUCAGAGGGCCCCCGUGCAAGCUUCAAGCUCAUGUUAUGGGAAGCUGGACGAGGUGGAUAGCAGGAUGUCAGAUGUGAUUCUUCACACAGAUUUUCAAGGUAGCGUCUGCAGAGACGUGUGGAUGAGUGUGACACCGCUGGUUUUUCCACAUCAUGGAUCGCUCAGGGAUAUCUGGAGAUGCUCGUUUCAGAAGUGGAUUUAAGACAUUUCCUUUUCCCAUGCUUUGACUGCAGAUACUGGAUUACUCGGACCCUUUUCUACUUUAAGUCAUUUGUUUUCUUCUGAUUGGUCAGUACGAUGUUCCAGUCAUGAUGCUCUAGCUAAUUAAAUAAAGAUAGCUUUAACAUUAAUUAAUAUAAAUAUUAAUUAAUAUAAAUAGUGCUAAUAUUUCAAUAAUACGGCAAUGUUGUUUUUUUUAUAAAGAAAUAAGACACUUUAUGUUGUGCUGUAUUGUAAAUGAUUAUAUUAAUUUAACGCAACCGUGUUGCUUCCUUUUAAUAUAUAAGUAUUUUUUAACAAACAUGGAUGUAUAAUUGAUGUAAUGUUUUUUUUUAAGGUUGUCCUGAAUUUUUUCAUAAAGCAAAAUCUAUUAUGUCAUGAUGUUAAAAACUAGUGGUGACAUGCACACAAUAUUAAAAGUUAAUAAAACACAAACUUUUCAUUUAUAUAUUUGUUA